CUUAAAUCCGACAAAAUUGCUUUUCUUUUCAAACGGUCCCUUUCAAACAUUUUGUUUCUGAUAUUCCUAGAAAUCCAUGCCACAGAUGUUUUAUUUCGUACCCGUCUUUCCCUAACCGGGGCAUGUUUAUCAAGAACAGUAAUAAAAAGAUUUUUCCAACAUUCCCAUUUAUUAUCAAUAUCAGUUUCUCUGUCAACUAAAUACCAUGGUAAGUUUAUAAGGUCGACUUUGAAAUUCUCAACAUUGAAAAGUUCUCAGAAGAUUUUGGAGUUCUCAGAAGAUUUUGGAGUUAUCAAAUAAUUUUGGAGUUCACAGAAAAUUUUUGAGUUAUCAGAAAACUUUUGGAUUGAAGGAGAACGAAUGAACUUGAGAAACAAACAAACAAAUCAAAUAGGCGGAGGAAAAUGGAUGGACUAAAUUUGCGGUGCAGAUGCGAGGUUAACAAGGGGAAAUGGAAGAGAAGGAUUGUUAAAAACCAUGUUAAGUCCGUAAUGUAAACAAAUCCUUUGUUUAUAUUUUGAACUGCUAUAUUUGUGAAAUAAGACAUACUAACUGAAUAUCUAACACUUUUCUGGCUCGCAAUUGUAAAUGAAUAUAAACUAGAGUACGUUUCAAUUAAAAAAAGUUCGAAAGAUGCAAAAUUUGGGCAAUGUUGAAAUCUGUGGGUCCCCCGUUGUUAGAUGAGCAGAACUGAUGCGCAGAACGGACUUGACAUGGUCUUUAAGUUUAACAACUUAGAUACAGUAGAAUCCCGCUAACUCGAACUAAAUCCAAUUUCCCCUGGAUCUGACCCAAUUUUUUCAGGAAUUUACUCCGGUUAACUCAACUUAAACACCGUGAUAGGUACUGUUUAACUCAGGUAACAGAUUAACAGUAGUACAAACUUUGUAAGUUCUGUAGAGUACACCGUAUAAAUGGCUCACAAUUGUGAUGGAUAAUAAAACGAGAAUCGGUCUUGUCUAAAAGUACACACGAGUAACCACGAAUGAUCACGAAUGACUACGAGUGAUUUCUGUGUUUAAAAACCAUCUUCUCGUAAGGUGACUCUUUAGGGUUUUUGCAUUAUACUACAUAAUAGUAUCCAGAAAACUCAAACAUGAGCUCCACCUUUGAAUUUACUAUAUGAGUAAAUUCUUAAACACG